UACGUAGGCAGCAAGCGUUGUUCGGAAUUACUGGGCGUAAAGAGUGUGUAGGCGGUGCUCUAAGUUCGGUGUGAAAUCUCCCGGCUCAACUGGGAGGGUGCGCCGGAAACUGGAGUGCUGGAGCGCGGGAGAGGAAAGCGGAAUUCCUGGUGUAGCGGUGAAAUGCGUAGAUAUUGGGAAGAACACCGGUGGCGAAGGCGGCUCACUGGCUCAUUACUGACGCUCAUGCGCGACAGCGUGGGGAUCAAACAGG
rnacentral:rRNA from 1 species